rnacentral:rRNA from 1 species
GACGAACGCUGGCGGCGUGCUUAACACAUGCAAGUCGAACGGAAAGGCCCUGCUUUUGUGGGGUGCUCGAGUGGCGAACGGGUGAGUAACACGUGAGUAACCUGCCCUUGACUUUGGGAUAACUUCAGGAAACUGGGGCUAAUACCGGAUAGGAGCUCCUGCUGCAUGGUGGGGGUUGGAAAGUUUCGGCGGUUGGGGGUGGACUCGCGGCUUAUCAGCUUGUUGGUGGGGUAGUGGCUUACCAAGGCUUUGACGGGUAGCCGGCCUGAGAGGGUGACCGGCCACAUUGGGACUGAGAUACGGCCCAGAAUCCUACGGGAGGCAGCAGUGGGGAAUAUUGCACAAUGGGCGGAAGCCUGAUGCAGCAACGCCGCGUGCGGGAUGACGGCCUUCGGGUUGUAAACCGCUUUCGCCUGUGACGAAGCGUGAGUGACGGUAAUGGGUAAAGAAGCACCGGCUAACUACGUG